AGGGGGAAGGGAGAGGAAGAGUUGUCGGUCUUCACGGAAGCGGAAGUGACGUAUACACCCCGGACGUUUACCUGUUCCCGUGGCAACAUAGAUUUCUAGCUAGGUAGAGUUGGAGGCAGAAAGCUGGAAACCGAGUUCACAGUGAGAGACUGCGGUGGCGCCCAGGGCGUCAAGGAGUCGUCGUGGUCUGAAGAUUCCUCCUUUGCGCCCAUGACCGUCUCGAAUCUCAGGAAGAAAGUGCACUUUGCUAGUAUACAUGAUGCAGUGAAAGCUGGUGAUGUAAAACAGCUCGCAGAAAUUGUAGAGAGUGGAAUCAGCAUUAAUGAAGUUGAUGUCCUCCAUAAAUUUACCCCUUUACAUUGGGCAGCACAUUCUGGAAGUCUGGAGUGUCUUCAUUGGUUGCUAUGGCAUGGGGCUGAUAUAAUGAGUGUAAGCCCAGGAGGUUGGACAGCAGCUCAUAUUGCUGCAAUCAAGGGUCAAGAUGCUUGUAUGCAGGCUCUCAUAAUGAAUGGAGCAGACCUUACUCUUCCGGAUGAUCGUGGAUGUAGUCCAUCACACCUUGCUGCAACACAUGGACAUUCCUACACAUUACAAGUUAUGCUCAGAAGUGGAGUGGAUCCCAAUGUUUCUGAUAAGUGUGACUGGAAACCUGUGCAUUAUGCUUCUUUUCACGGGCGCCUAGGCUGUCUGCAACUUCUUGUUAAAUGGGGAGCUGCUAUAGAAGAUACAGAUCAAAAUGGAAACCUUCCAGUUCAUCUCGCAGCCAUGGAAGGUCACCUUUACUGUUUUAAGUUUCUACUCAGUAGAAUGAGCAGUGUAAGACAGACCUUAAAAGUCUUCAAUGAUAAUGGAGAAAAUGCAAUGGACCUAGCACAGAGAUUCUUCAAAGAUAACAUAAUACAGUUUAUACAGGGGACUGAUUUUGAAGGAGAUAAUCGAAGUGAUCAGGAAACUUUAGCAUUUCCAGGUCAUGCAGCUGCUUAUAAAGGAGAUUUGGAGAUGCUUAAGAAAUUAGUGGAAAAUGGAAUAAUCAAUAUUAAUGAGCGUGAUGAUAGUGAAUCUACUCUUUUGCACAAAGCUGCUGGACAAGGUCAUGUAGAAUGUUUGCAGUGGCUAAUUGAAAAGGGAGCUGAUGUUAAUAUUACCAACAAAGCUGGGGAACUUGCAGUUGACGCAGCUAAGAGGUUUGCCCAUUUGUCAGCAGUGUCACUUUUAGUGGGACAACAGAAAUAUGAAGUUGAAGAAAAUGAUAAAAUUGAUAACCAAGAUGUGAAGUUUUUUGAAAGACAUGGUGUUGAGGGAAGCACUGAUGUAAGAGAUGAAUUAUCUCAGAGUGAAGCUGAAAAAACAGAUGCACGAAUAAGAGCUUAUGAGAAGGUUGUAGAAUUGAGACACCUUCUAAAUAUUGCUGAAAGUAACUUUAAACAGCUGGGAGGGAUAACAGAAGAAGACAUAAAAAAGAAGAAAGAAGACCAAGUGUCUGAAAGGGUGAUCAAAGAACUUCAAGGCCAGUUGGAAGGUGAGCGAUUACGUAGAGAGAAACUGGAAUGUCAGCUGGAUGAAUUCAGAGCGGAGGCUAGUCAUCAUAGAACCUCUUUGGAUCACAUGCGCCUCAGCAGUGUUUCCGUGGAUGAAGAAUCUUCUGACUCAAACAAAGAAAAAAGAAAAUUGAAGAAAAAGGCCACAUCCUCUGGAGGGAUACUUACGAGAAGGUCGUAAUCAGUAUGUAACCUUUGAGGAGACUACAAGGAAAGACUAACCCAAAUGAAAAGAAUUCGAGAACAAUUCGAGAACACCUCCUUAUCUUGGGCAGAUCAGUUCAUUUCUUGUGGUGCAGAGGAUAUUGUCAAGGAUGACGUCAUCAUCCUCCCAACCUUUGGUGUGAUUUGUGUCUGAGGAACAGGACAGCAGCAUAGGGGAACACAGAAGCCUCCAGGAACAAGAAAAACCACAACCCUACCCAACCUCAAAGAGGCCUCAUCUCUUUCUUCCUGUCACCCUCCCUCAAGAGCAACUGACUGUAUAAUCUCAGUGGGGUGACCCAGGCUAACAAUACCAGAGAACUCGGAGGUUUCCCGCACAAGUCACGGUCCUCUGCCACCAAGUUUUGCCUCAUUUUCUCCCUUCUGUGAUGACACUGACUUUUGCAGGUCCAGCAUAUCAAAGGGCGGAGGGGGCCCUGGCCCCAAGGCCUGCUUUCAGCUGCCAGUUGGGUCCCACCUGAGAGUGGGAGAGAGGCUGGUGCCUUUCUGCCCACACAUCUCCACUAUCUUGCCUCCCUGCAUGUGUGUGGUAACAGCUGGUCAGACUUAUCUUGUGGGAACCAGCCGGGCUCAUUUUAUUUCCAUUUGAGGACUAAUGAAACACUGAAUUAUUAUAUUUAAAAACCCUUUCUCCCAGGGAGGCAUUCUUUGCAAAACUAAAACUUCUUUGAGGGAGAGGAAGAAGAAUUGUUUGACUUGGUAAGACUUCAAACUUCUGUCUCAGGAAUUAUGAGUUCAGAAGGCUUCUGUCGUCACUUCUUUGCUUUCUAGCUCUUGCUUAUUCCUCCCUACCCCUCUGACCCUCCUCACCAGAGCUGAGGCUUAGAAGAUGCAGAGCAACUCCAACACUUGUACAAUAUAGAAGUAUGGGUUUGGUACACCCUUAAUGCUACUUUGAGUGGGUCCCUUGAAGGGGAGGGUCCAUGCAUGCUCCCAAACCUAAUUCCAUACUGUGCU